UGGCGGCCGCGGGAAUUCGAUUAGAGUUUGAUCAUGGCUCAGAUUGAACGCUGGCGGCAUGCUUUACACAUGCAAGUCGAACGGUAACAGGCCGCAAGGUGCUGACGAGUGGCGAACGGGUGAGUAAUGCAUCGGAACGUGCCCAGUCGUGGGGGAUAACGCAGCGAAAGCUGUGCUAAUACCGCAUACGACCUGAGGGUGAAAGCGGGGGAUCGCAAGACCUCGCGCAAUUGGAGCGGCCGAUAUCAGAUUAGGUAGUUGGUGAGGUAAAGGCUCACCAAGCCGACGAUCUGUAGCUGGUCUGAGAGGACGACCAGCCACACUGGAACUGAGACACGGUCCAGACUCCUACGGGAGGCAGCAGUGGGGAAUUUUGGACAAUGGGCGCAAGCCUGAUCCAGCCAUUCCGCGUGAGUGAAGAAGGCCUUCGGGUUGUAAAGCUCUUUCGCAAGGGAAGAAAACUUAGGCUCUAACAUAGCCUGAGGUUGACGGUACCUUGAUAAGAAGCACCGGCUAACUACGUGCCAGCAGCCGCGGUAAUACGUAGGGUGCGAGCGUUAAUCGGAAUUACUGGGCGUAAAGCGUGCGCAGGCGGUUUUGUAAGUCAGAUGUGAAAUCCCCGAGCUCAACUUGGGAACUGCGUUUGAAACUACAAGACUAGAAUAUGUCAGAGGGGGGUAGAAUUCC
rnacentral:rRNA from 1 species